GUCUCCCCUUUUUAAUCAAUGAAACUGAUCUUCUCGUGAAGAAGCGAGAAUAAAAAUAUAAGACGAGAAGACCCUAUGGAGCUUUAAACCCACCAUCACCUGCCCUUGCUACAACAAAACAACAGGCAGCCCUGCUACUAGGUGGUUUUCGGCUGGGGUGGCCCUGGAGUAAAACAAACCCUCCAGAUUGAAUGGUUUAAACCCCUAAUCUAAGAAUUACUAUUCAAAGAAUCAACAUUUUGACAUAAUUGACCCAACAAAUUGAUCAACGAACCAAGUUACCCUAGGGAUAACAGCGCAAUCCAUUUCAAGAGCCCCUAUCGACAAAUGGGUUUACGACCUCGAUGUUGGAUCGGGGUAUCCUAGCGGCGCAGCCGCUGCUAAAGGUUCGUUUGUUCAACGAUUAAUAACCCCACGUGAUCU
rnacentral:rRNA from 1 species